rnacentral:lncRNA from 1 species
CAAUAGACACAGCUUAAAUAAAGUGAAGAGGGAUAGGCCGUAGAAGAAGUAGUUUCUGUCUUUAAAAAAUGUAUUCAUUAUUUUGGGGAAUAAUAUAAACCUGAACACCAAUUUAAAAAACUUUAAAGGACUAUUCAGUGAAAAAUCAUUCUCUCUCCCACCCUCACUCCCCAUCAGCCACCAUGUUCCCAAACCAGAGGCAACUGCCAUUAUAUUUCUAGAGUAUUCUUCCAGAGACAUCCUAUGUAGAUAUAAACAUUCAUACAUACACAUAUAUAUGCUUUUAAAAUAUGCAAAUGAUGUACAAUACACAUUGUUCUGCACUUUGCUUUUUUUUUUUCAUUUAACAAUACAUCAGACAAAGAUGUUUUUUCUGCUCAAAGUGCCAUCAAGAGAGAAAAGUCAUUCUUCAGUUCAAUGAUCUGCAUCUGUUUCUGGCUUAUUGUAUUGACAACAAACAAAAUGCAAGUCAAAUUCUAUUGCAGCCAUAGGUAAUCUCGGCCUGGAGAAAUGUGAAUCCUCUUUAAAACCUUACAACUCUGAAUAACAGGAAGUGUGGAGUGCAUAGAGGAGAAAGGGAAGGAUGAAUUAUGCUUAAUAGAACGUUUUAUGGAACUGACAGUUGAGCCGAGAGACAUUUUGGAUGCCAUCUUGCAAAAUGAUUCCUUGCCUAGCUCUACUCCUAUCAGGAUACCACCUUGCUCCCCAGACACCGCACCCAUAUUUGCAGAGAUGAAUUGAAUGUGUUUCCAUGACAACACCAGAGGAGGAAGAGGGGCUCUGAGGCCCCGUAUGAUUUUCCUCUCCUCUCCACUGAGGCUAGCAUCACAGGCUGUGGAAGCUUCCCCCUGAGAGCUCUCAGCAGGUAGGUCAACAGGCGAGCCUCAGGCCCGAGGUGCCACUCAUGGUCUUGAAAGGAAGGCAUCACCUUGGCGCUGAGCUAGCUGGCUGUCUGUGCAGUGUGGCUUGAGUGAUCCACAUUCCAGGGAUGGAGAUUUCAGCUCAGCCUCCAUCUGAGGAUUAAGGGUAAAGUCCUUGAGUUUAUUGGAAGAGAAUCAUAGUCCUUAUGGCAAAAAAAAAAAAAAAAAAAAAACAGAACAAAAACAAAAACAAAAAACCUUGCUUGUCCCCAUUACUGAGGGAGGGGUUCUUCCCACUGAGAGUAGCCGGGCAUUUCAGUGGGAGGGCAGCCAUUGUUUCACACAGGGAGUGGACAUAGCUCAGCAAAAAGGCUCCCUGACACAUGAUAGCUUCCUGCCCUGUCUCUGACUCUUGACUUUUCACAUUUUCCCUUAGCAAAAAUAACUGAUGGAAACUUACAAAACUCCCCACUCAGUCCCCUUUCUCUGUUCCUUUGGAAAGAUGGGGCAGUGAAGCAUUUCUUUAGGGUUUACAAAAAAAA